CCUCGGCUUCUGGCAAAAUUGUUCUCCAGUGCAAAAUUACACUACAUUCAAUUUCCUACAAAAAGGGUCUGUACUUUUCUUCCUCUUGGACCAAUAAUUUGGAACGGGUUAAAAACAACUAUUAAAUUGUGUACCAUAUCUAAGUGCAGUAGAGGCAUACUAAUGGAUAAAUUGUGUUCCAGGGGUGAAACAGGCUGGGCUGUGGGAGAUGUGUGGAGUAGAGUGUGAGUGAAGGUAGCUCACUGCACUGUGUUUGUGCACUUCCCACCUCCAUAGGUCUGCAAAUCUGAAGGUGGAGCUGGUGAUUCUCCACUCUAUCUCGUCCACUGCGUCACAAGAAGCAACUACAGAGUAUAUCACAAACUUAUAUGGCCCCUCUGUAGUGCAUUAUAUGAAUCACUGCCGACACAGUGCACAGACACGCUCGAGGAGGGUUUAGUUUGCACAACGUGCAUUAACACUACAUGGAAUGCGAAUAUAAUGUACUAAUAACACUAAUACAGGUAAUGAAUGUGAACAGAAUCUACUUUAAUCUCUGCAUACUGUGCUACACUGCUACAGGAGAAAUUGGUUCUUUAUGGUUCUGUUCAGAAGACGUAGUGUUCUUCUAAGAAAGAUCACUUCCACCAUUGUGAGUACUGCUCACUUCUCUGUUUACAGACAGGCUGUAACUGCCUUGUGUUUCGUGUCCACUUAUCUUUUGCUGCUAGACAAAAUAGCUUUGAUGAACUUGUGUUUAAUAUAAUCCAUUAUGGAGUCGAGGUAGCAGUUUUCGUUAUACUGGUUAUCACUGUUAACAUUCAACCGCGAUUCUUAUACAUAUAUUUUAACAACGCGUUUCAAGAUAUGAUGAUGAGAGCAUUGUCUCUUGAAACGCAUUGUUAAAAUAUAUGUAUAAGAAUCGCGGUUGAAUGCUAACAGUGAUAACCAGAACUUGUGUUUAUAUAGUGAAGUUAUUUCCUGUUUGGAAAGGGAGUAGGCCUAUUUAUUUGAAGGUGUUAAGUGAGCUAUUAUGUUGUCAGUUACUUAUGUGGUGUUGGUGGGAAAGGGACUGGACUGUAAAAAGUGGCACCCUGCUGCUGUGUAUUGUAAAACCGUGUAAUUGUGUUUUAGGCACUUGGUGGUGAAUUAAUGGAUGACUAAAAAUGUUACUGCACUUCUCUCCCAUUCAUUGUGUUACAGGUAGACUGCAUAAAUAUUUUCCAUUCGUAAUUCAUGAAUUGCUGCAUUUGCAGAGUGGGCUGCACCGAGUGGAACCACUUAACGCACAUCCACAGUACAUCUUCCGAGAUAGGUGUGGCUAUGUCUGAUGGAAUGUGACUGUUAAUAUUGAAGUCUAUAACAGUUAUCUGCUGUAACGCAUUGCCUGACUUAUGUUGAAAUAUCUGAACAACUGUUAUAGUCUUGGUGAUCUACUUUUGUUGCAGUGGAUUAAGCCUCUGAGCCUCAUCGUAUUUUUGGAGAACUGAGGCAGGGUGAUGCAUUUGAUAACCCUCGUGCUGUGAAAAGUAUUCCAGCUUGUGACAAUGAAAUCUAUGAUGUCCUGUACAUAUUGACAGUGUGUCCUAUUUGGAAGAGUCUCUUCAGUGUGGUAGACAAUUGACAGUUCCAGCUGUUGAACUUUUUUACAUGAUAUGAGUAGUGCACUCAACAACUGCAAAUAAGUACCCAGUAAACUGAAAAUAACUCCACUGUGUAAACAUGAGCUCAGUGAAGCUAUUCUGUCCAUUUGCAUAAUACAAAUGGACAGGAAAUGCUGGGGAGCAGCACCUGUGGUGGGGGAAGCUGCCUUUCCCGUAACGGAUCACUAAGAAUCAGUUUCUCCUCUUGCAGUGUAGAACAUUGUGCAGAGAUUUACAUACGUCCAGUUCAUGUACAUUCCCUGCAUUAGUGUUGUUAGUAACUUGUAUCUGCAUUCUGUGUAGUGUUAACUCAUUUUGUGCAAAAUAAACCCUCCCCGCGGACAUCUGCGUGCUGUGUCACCAGCGAUUCGUGUGGCGUAUUGUGGACGGAGAACUUUGUGAUGUACCCUGUAGUCGCUUCUUGUGACGUAGCGAGGGGGAUCAACUGCUUAACCUUCAGUUUGCUUACCUAGGAAGGAGGGAAGUACAUUAAUUUUUUACCAUUUGAACAAUAUUUUUAGUGCCGUAAUUUGCAAUUUUUUUCAUCCUCUGCAAACUAUUAGUCCUAGAGAAAAAGUGACUAGAACCUUUUUUGGCAGGGAAGUGAAUGCAGGUUAAUUUUGUAUUGGGGAAGAAUUUCCCCAGGAUCCGUUGUUUUUGAGUCAUUCAAGAACAAAAAUAAAAAAUUACCUUUAAACCUACCCCCACACCAAUGCUCACACUCCACAGGUCAGGGUUUUUAGUACAAUGUUUGUGACAAUAUAUCCUAGAACUGUGUAAAACUUUGUGACUACGUGACUUUUCCCCUAAUUUUCCUUCAUUGACUGGACUAAAUGUUAGUGUUUGGAACUGACACAGAUAGUGAAGGGCUUCAUCAUCAAAGGCAUUUAGCGACAGCUGUAAACAGAAUGGCAGAAGAACCUUUUGAGAGGACGGAAAAGAAACCCGAGCCUGUCAGCAUUACCUCCCCUGAAAUGUAAGAAACUGGUGGAUUCCAAGACAAAAUUGUGGAAAAUGGAGACAUCUUCAAAUAACAGAAAGAAAUAAAGGCUGAAGAGGCAGGAUCACAGAUGUCAGAUGAAAGUUACCGCAAAAAAGGUUAAGUUGGAAAAGAGUGAAAAUGAAAAUGGAUGCUUGUGCAGUGACUGAAGUUGAAGUCAUAAAUUGAGGAUGAUGAAGCUACACGAAAAAGCUCUCAGCUCUACAGUCCGAGUCUGACCGACUUGUCUGACGAGCCACUGUCGGCGGCACUGCGAUCGCAGGCCCCUCACGGUGUGCGCUUACUCAGGCAAGUGUCGUGGGGAUUUGUUAAUGUAGAGGCUGACUGUACGCUGUAGGUGCCUGCAGACUUCCAUCAUUAGAGGAACAGUUCUAUGAACAGUACAUGCCAUUCUCUGGAGUGUGGACCACUUCAUUGGUUACUCGAGUUCCUCAUCUGACCCCAGAACUGUCAUUUACUGCAGCUAGGCAUUUAGCACUAAUAAAAUGUGAGUUACAUAAAAUGGAAGUGUCCGACAUAUCAGCAGCCGUGAAGAUAUGAAAAUUUAAAGGUAUCUCCAUUUUGAGCAGUACAAACUUUAGAAUUAUUAUUCUAAUUUGUUAAUCCUGUGGUGUAGUCCACGUACUGUGUGAAAGUGACUUGUCAACAUAUGAUCGAAGAACAUUUAUUAUAAACUUUCCUGGUGAUCUCAGUGAAUUGCAUUUGGUAAUAUCAAGACCUAUGAACUGGUUAAGAGAGUUACUCAGCUAUAAAACUUUUGUGCCUGUGUUUGUUUAUAUUAUGCAUUAUAUGUAUAUUUAACCAAUUGUAUAAGAAAUCUUUAAAUAAGAAUGUUAAAUGACUGUGUAAACUUGUGACUAGUAAUAAUUGAAGGUUAUUGGCAAUGAAAUGUUGUUGUAAGCUUGUAGUGUAUCUUACGGAAUAUGCCCAUGACACAGGCAAGUCCUAGGAGCAAUACACAUUGGGUUCAGAGCUGGCUAGAAAUAACUUUUUCAGUUAUUUUGAAAUUUAACUUAGUCAUCUGCCAGAAUGCCUAUGAUGUUGGGGGCUAGAAUAAAUCUGCAGUAACUCAUUUUCUGUUGUAAAAGGCAAAUAAAAGGUGUUUUAUACCUAGCAAA